rnacentral:rRNA from 1 species
AACGAACGCUGGCGGUGUGCUUAACACAUGCAAGUCGAACGAGAAAGUUUCCUUCGGGAAGCGAGUAAAGUGGCGCAAGGGUGAGUAACACGUGAAUAAUCUACCCUCGAGACUGGGAUAACCUGGUGAAAACUAGGCUAAUACCGGAUAAGACCACGUCCCGCAAGGGAUGCGGGAAAAGGAGGCUCAACCUCCACUUGGGGAUGAGUUCGCGGACCAUUAGCUUGUUGGUGAGAUAACAGCUCACCAAGGCUACGAUGGUUAGCCGGCCUGAGAGGAUGAUCAGCCACACUGGGAUUGAGAUACGGCCCAGACUCCUACGGGAGGCAGCAGUGGGGAAUUUUGCGCAAUGGGCGACAGCCUGACGCAGCGACGCCGCGUGGGUGACG